CGAGCCUCUGGAGAGACUGGCAUAGCUUAACGCCAGCGCCGAAGGCGCAAGCUGGAAUAAGGUUAACUUAUCUUGAUGACUAUCGAGAUGAUGUGAGCUUGUUUCAGUGAAACGCUCAGGCAAAAGGACAGAGGAGA
rnacentral:ncRNA from 1 species